rnacentral:misc_RNA from 1 species
GCUCAACUUGCAUAUAAUGAUGAGGUGGUGAAAUCAAAUUUUGAGCUCAGAGUGUGGGUGUGCAUUUCUGAUCAUUUUGAUGUUAAAAUAAUUGUUGAAAAUAUUUUGGAAUCUCUUGAUGGUAAGAAACCUAAAAAGCUUGAGAUGAAUUCCUUGAAAGAUCAUCUUCAUGAGAAAAUUAAUGGAAAAAAAUAUUUACUUGUUUUGGACGAUUUGUGGAAUGAGGAUUCCGAAAAAUGGUUUCACUUGAAAGAUUUGUUAGUUGGAGGCAGAAGAGGAAGCAAAAUAAUAGUGACUACACGUCUUAAAAAUGUUGCAGAAAUGAUAGGAUCAACAAAAACACAUGAUUUACAAGGCCUCCUUGUUGAUGAUUCGUGGUCUUUAUUUGCAAAUAUGGCUUUUAAACAGGGGGCAGUUGUUAGCCUAGACCAUGAGAGAAUUGGAAAAGAAAUUGCGGCAAAAUGUGUUGGAGUCCCUUUAGCUAUAAGAGUAAUAGGUCAUUUAUUGUAUUCUAAAAAUAUAGUAGACGAAUGGCAACAUUUUAAAGAAAAAGAGCUUCCAAAUAUGAAUGAAGAGGGGAGUAUUAUUAUGCAAACUCUAAGAUUGAGUUAUAAUCAUCUACCUUCACAUUUAAAGUGUUGCUUUGCUUAUUGUAGAUUAUUUUCAAAAGAUUAUAAAAUUGAUAUCCCAUAUUUGGUUAGCCUUUGGAUGGCACAAGGAUUUAUUAAAUCAUCAAAUUCAGAACAAAGUCUUCAAGAUAUAGGUUUAAAAUAUUUCAGGGAGCUUUCAUGGAGGUCAUUCUUUCAAGAAGUAAAGGAAGAUGCGUUGGGCAAUUUAUGUUGUUGUAAAAUGCAUGAUUUGAUGCA